rnacentral:rRNA from 1 species
AACGCGAAGAACCUUACCAGGUCUUGACAUCCUCUGAAAACCCUAGAGAUAGGGCUUCUCCUUCGGGAGCAGAGURACAGGUGGUGCAUGGUUGUCGUCAGCUCGUGUCGUGAGAUGUUGGGUUAAGUCCCGCAACGAGCGCAACCCUUGAYCUUAGUUGCCAUCAUUAAGUUGGGCACUCUAAGGUGACUGCCGGUGACAAACCGGAGGAAGGUGGGGAUGACGKCAAAUCAUCAUGCCCCUUAUGACCUGGGCUACACACGUGCUACAAUGGACGGUACAAAGAGCUGCWAGACCGCGAGGUGGAGCUAAUCUCAUAAAACCGUUCUCAGUUCGGAUUGUAGGCUGCAACUCGCCUACAUGAAGCUGGAAUCGCUAGUAAUCGCGGAUCAGCAUGCCGCGRUGAAUACGUUCCCGGGCCUUGUACACACCG